UAGUCCACGCUGUAAACUAUGGACACUCGCUGUUGGCGAUACACAGUCAGCGGCUGAGCGAAAGCAUUAAGUGUCCCACCUGGGGAGUACGAUCGCAAGGUUGAAACUCAAAGGAAUUGACGGGGGCCCGCACAAGCGGAGGAGCAUGUGGUUUAAUUCGAUGAUACGCGAGGAACCUUACCUAGGCUUAAAUGUUGGACGAUCGUCCGGGAAACCGGUCUUUCCUUCGGGACGUCCAGCAAGGUGCUGCAUGGUUGUCGUCAGCUCGUGCCGUGAGGUGUCGGGUUAAGUCCCAUAACGAGCGCAACCCCUAUCCUUAGUUGCCAGCAUGUAAUGAUGGGGACUCUAGGGAAACUGCCUACGCAAGUAGUGAGGAAGGUGGGGAUGACGUCAAAUCAGCACGGCCCUUAUGCCUAGGGCUACACACGUGCUACAAUGGUCGGUACAGAGGGCAGCUACAUAGUGAUAUGAUGCAAAUCUCGAAAACCGGUCUCAGUUC
rnacentral:rRNA from 1 species